AGCAGUGUUGUCUGUCCAAUACGAGUACCCAUUUCAACUGAAAUUGUGUUUGUCAUAGACUUCUGUGACUUUGAAUCAUAUUUAGGCUAGUUAAGAAAGAUGGUCGACAGACAGGUUAUUGACAGACAGGUACUAUGCCUCCUGCUGAUACAGUAGCUGUGCUGUGGGGCUGCACCAACUCAUAUCCGAAGAGAAGCACAGAGGGGAUUGAACAUGUUGAAAGGGAGAUUAAGUUUCAUCAGUUCCUGGCUGAGGUUAAGUUCCUGUUUUUAAACAUUAAGGAGUUGUUGGAGGAAUGGUUCUCACCAUGGUAGGCAUCACUCUCUGCAUAGUGAGCCCCAUCACUGAGCCUGAAAGCACAGGACAGCAGAAUGAUCCAACCCUGACCUCUGCCACAACCCUGACCUCUGCCACAACCCUGACCUCUGCCACAACCCUGACCUCUGCCACAACCCUGACCUCUGCCACAACCCUGACCUCUGCCCCAACCCUGACCUCUG